AUGAUGAGUCGGCAUCGACUUAUUAUUAAACUGAGGUGGUACAGGAUGAGCAUGCGUCUGAUUAGCUAGUUGGUAGUGUAAUGGACUACCAAGGCAAUGAUCAGUAGGGGAACUGAGAGGUUGAUCCCCCCACACUGGCACUGAGAUACGGGCCAGACUCCUACGGGAGGCAGCAGUAGGGAAUAUUGGACAAUGGGUGAGAGCCUGAUCCAGCCAUGCCGCGUGCAGGAAGAAGGCCUUCUGGGUUGUAAACUGCUUUUAUCUGGGGAUAAAAAGGCCUUGCGAGGCAAACUGAAGGUACCAGAUGAAUAAGCCACGGCUAACUACGUG
rnacentral:rRNA from 1 species